AAAUAGCAAAGUCACUUUGAUCAAGCUGUCUGAAGGACUAGGACACAUCGUUUGCUUCCCCCAAAUUUCAGUUAGGUGACUUAAUGCAGAGUUACUGUGUUGAUUUUCUGAGGGAUUUUCAUCACAUUUCUUCAGAGACACAUCAGUGAUGAAACAACAUCUGUUCAUACUCCUGUUUAUCACAGGAGUCCUCCCUGUCACCCAGACUAUCUAUCGCAGGUUCCACCUGAACCUACAGGGGAAGAUGUGGAGUGAUGCUCAGGCUUACUGCAGGGCCAUGUACACUGACCUGGCUACCUUUGAAAACCAUGAUGAAGC